UCAGAUCUACUAAUGAUCUCUUAAUUAUCUUCCAUCUUCUGUUCUUUUCUCUUCAUGUUUUAAGAUAUCAUCUCCUUCCUCUAUGUUCUCCUCUGUUUUUCAUCAUCUUCUGCUCACCACUUUCUUCACGGUUACCACUUCUGUCGCUGUCGGGAAGGAAAAACCGCUGCUGUCUCCGUCAUCUAAGAACAAACGCCUCUGUGCUUGAGGAAGCACCGGCUCGUAGCAGUGGAGGCAACCGCCCUUCUUCUUCAGAUUUAGUCCAUCUCCCUCGCCGUCACGUUUUGCUCUCUGUCCAAGACUCACCGGAGAUGAAGAUUCGUACUCAUCGUCACCACUCUAGCUUCUCACCUCUCUUUUUAGAAUUCAAUAUUAAAAGGUGCGGAGGAAGAAGAAGAACUCGACGGUGGUGGGAUUUGAGAGAAGCGGAUGUAGAAGGUGGAUGCGACGGCUGGAAGUAGAAGCAUCGAUGGUGGCUAAAGCGUCGAAGGUGAAGCAUCGAUGGUGGCUGAAACGUUGAGAGUGCGGUGGAGAAAGACGACUGGAAGAGGAGGACGGCGGCGGCUUAGAUUUAGGGUUUUCUUGUAUUUUGUUUGUAUUUAUGUUUAUAUAUUUACAUAUUUGUUUUUAUUAAUUAUAUCAAAUUGUUUUUUUGGUUAACCGUCGGAAAUGACACAUUUUCCUAUAGUGUACCAGUUUCAAUAUAUAUAUUUAUUUAUAUUUUAUA